CUUGAAGGGGUGAUUCACCCCCCUGGGACUGAAACCCGGGUCAAACUCCUUCGGGAGGCCACAAUAGGGAAAUUUUCGCCAUUGGCGAAAAUCUGGCGGAACACCUCCCCGUGAGUGAUGAAGGCUUUCGGGUCGUUAAACUCCUUUGUUUGGGAAGAACAAGUACUAGUUUAAUAAGCGGGCGCCAUGACGGUACCUAAACAAUAAGCCCCGGCUAACUUCGUGCCAGCAGCCGCGGUAAUACGUAGGUGGCAAGCGUUAUUCGGAAUUAUUGGGCGUAAAGCGCGCGCAGGUGGUUUUUUAAGUCCGAUGUGAAAGCCCACGGCUCACCGGGAGGGUCAUUGGAAACUGGGAGACUAGAGUGCAGUAGAGGAAAGUGGAAUUCCAUGUGUAGCAGUGAAAUGCGUAGAGAUAUGGAGGAACAUCCGUGGCGAAGGCAACUUUCUGGUCCGUCACUGACACUGAGGCGCGAAAGCGUGGGGAGCAAACAGGAUUAGAUAC
rnacentral:rRNA from 1 species